rnacentral:antisense_RNA from 1 species
GCCGUGAAAGCCCUCGAUUCUCUGUCUAUCGGUAGACGGCCUACGCACGGGAACGACGGACAUUUUUCAACUACUUGAUAUUCCCUCUUUACCUCGCUCGCUACGUUGACGCCUAUGCGCGCAGGCGGGAA